UACGGAAGGCAGCAGUGGGGAAUAUUGCACAAUGGGCGCAAGCCUGAUGCAGCCAUGCCGCGUGUAUGAAAAAGGCCUUCGGGUUGUAAAGUACUUUCAGUCGUGAGGAAGGUGUUAAGGUUAAUAACCUUAGCAAUUGACGUUAGCGACAGAAGAAGCACCGGCUAACUCCGUGCCAGCAGCCGCGGUAAUACGGAGGGUGCGAGCGUUAAUCGGAAUUACUGGGCGUAAAGGGCACGCAGGCGGUUAAUUAAGUUGGAUGUGAAAUCCCCGGGCUUAACCUGGGAAUGGCAUUCAAGACUGGUUAGCUAGAGUCUUGUAGAGGGGGUAGAAUUCCAUGUGUAGCGGUGAAAUGCGUAGAGAUGUGGAGGAAUACCGGUGGCGAAGGCGGCCCCUGGACAAAGACUGACGCUUAUGUGCGAAAGCGUGGGGAGCAAACAGGGAUUAGAUACC
rnacentral:rRNA from 1 species